rnacentral:misc_RNA from 1 species
GAUGAAGAACGUAGCGAAAUGCGAUAAGUAAUGUGAAUUGCAGAAUUCAGUGAAUCAUCGAAUCUUUGAACGCACAUUGCGCCCCCUGGUAUUCCGGGGGGCAUGCCUGUUCGAGCGUCAUUUCACCACUCAAGCCUCGCUUGGUAUUGGGCGACGCGGUCCGCCGCGCGCCUCAAAUCGACCGGCUGGGUCUUCCGUCCCCUCAGCGUUGUGGAAACUAUUCGCUAAAGGGUGCCGCGGGAGGUCACGCCGCAAAACAACCCCAUUUCUAAGAUUGACCUCGGAUCAGGUAGGGAUACCCGCUGAACUUAAGCAUAUCAAUAACGGAGGA